rnacentral:rRNA from 1 species
UUACGGGAGGCAGCAGUGGGGAAUCUUGCACAAUGGGCGAAAGCCUGAUGCAGCGACGCCGCGUGAAGGAUGAAGGCCUUCGGGUUGUAAACUUCUUUUGCAGGGGAAGAUAAUGACGGUACCCUGCGAAUAAGCCACGGCUAACUCUGUGCCAGCAGCCGCGGUAAGACAGAGGUGGCGAGCGUUGUUCGGAAUUACUGGGCUUAAAGGGCGCGUAGGCGGUGAUACAAGUCUGAGGUGGAAUACUGCAGCUCAACUGCGGAACUGCCCUGGAAACUGUAUUGCUUGAGUCGGACAGGGGAAGGCGGAAUUCCAGGUGUAGCGGUGAAAUGCGUAGAUAUCUGGAGGAAGGCCUGUGGUGAAGACGGCCUUCUGGGUCUUGACUGACGCUGAGGCGCGAAAGCGUGGGGAGCAAACAGGAUUAGAUACCCUGGUAGC